ensembl:lincRNA Gm44448 predicted gene, 44448
GUAAACACAGUACCCAGGCUCCCCAGAGGUGAACUGGCCCAGGAAGAGGCAAAGCCUCUGCCCUGGCUAAGGUGCCUUCUCUCUCAAAGCAAGCUUCUUUACCAUCACAGAGCCAGAAAACCCCUACUGCCACCAUCCCCUCCCACCCUUCCCUCCUUGGGGAAAGUGGGUGGUUACAGCGGAAAUUAAAGAAGUGGAAAGGCCUCUAUCUUCAGCAGGAGCCCCAGGGUGAUCAGCCACUGGAAGCUCCUGCCACCACAGCCACAGCCACAGCCACUCUCGCUGCUUAGCCUUCCAUAAGUGUGAGUCCAGAUAAACUCCCUGUAAGCUAACCAGGAUCAUUGCCACUUGACUCUGGAGCAGAAAAAUACUACACUGUCUGAAACAGGUAAAAGCCUG